rnacentral:lncRNA from 1 species
AGCGGACCCAUAGCGUCAUCCUUCUGGCCCCAUAGCUGCCCCAUAGCGCCGUCCUUCUGGCCCCAUAGCUGCCCCAUAGCAGCACCAUUGUGGCCCCAUAGCAGCCCCAUAGCAGCACCAAGGUGGCCCCAUUGCGGCCCCAUAGCAGCCCCAUAGCCACCCCAUAGCUGCCCUAUAGCAGCACCAUUGUGGCUCUGUAGCUCCCCCAUAGCUGCCCCAUAACUGCUCAUAGCUGCCCCAUAGCUGCCCUAUAGCAGCACUAUAGUUGCCCCAUAGCAGCACCAUAGCUGCCCCAUACCCACCCCAUAGCUGCCCCAUAGCCGCCCCAUAGCUACCCCAUAGCUGCCCCACAGUGUCCCCGUAGCUGCCCCAUAACUGCCCACAGCCGCCCCAUAGUGGCCCCAUAGCGGUACCAGUGUGGCCCCAUAGCUGCCCCAUAGGGGCCACUGGGGAGGGGAACCCCAAACGCCCAUCCCUACCCCAUAACCACCGCUGGGGGGGGCAGCCCCAUAACCUCCCAUUCCUGCCCCAUAACCGCCAGCAGGGGGACCCCAAACUUCCCAUAUCUGCCCCAUAACCGCCGCUGGGGGGGGCAACCCCAUAACCUCCCAUAUCUGCCCCAUAACCGCCAUCGGGGGGACCCCAAAUCUCCCAUCCCUGCCCCAUAACCGCCAGCAGGGGGAGGGGGGCGGGAAUCUGAAACAUCCCAUAAUCACCCCAUAACGGUUGCUGGGAGGGGAACCCCAUAACCACCCCAUAACCACCCCAUAUCCACCCCAUAAGUGCUGUUGGGGGAUGGGACUCAUGAUGGCCCCAUAACUGCCUCGGGGGGGGAACCCCAUAACCACUCAUAUCCGCCCCAUAACCACCCCAUAACCGCCGCCAAGGGGGGAACCCCAAACUUCCCAUCCCUGCCCCAUAACUGCUGCUGGGGGAUGGGACCCAUAGCGGCCCCAUAACCACCUCAUAACCACCCCAUAACUGCUGCUGGGGGAUGGGACCCAUAACCACCCCAUAACCAUCCCAUAACUGCUGCUGGGGGAUGGGACCCAUAAUGGCCCCAUAACCACCCCAUAACCACCCCAUAACCGCCACUGGGGGAGGGGGAACCCCAUAACUUUUCAUCACGACCCCAUAACCUCCCAUCCCUGCCCCAUAACCACCCCAUAUCCACCCCAUAACCACUGCUGGGGGGGAAACCCCAUAUGCUCCCAUUCCUUCCCCAUAACCACCACCAGUGGGGGAACCCCAAAUCUCCCAUCCCUGCCCCAUAACCGCCAUUGGGGGGGAACCCUAUAAGCUCCCAUCUCCGCCCCAUAACCUCCCACCCCUGCCCCAUAACCUCCGCCAGUGGGGGAACCCCAAACAUCCCAUAU